rnacentral:rRNA from 1 species
AUUGGACGCUGGCGGCAUGCCUUACACAUGCAAGUCGAACGGCAGCACGGGGCAACCUGGUGGCGAGUGGCGAACGGGUGAGUAAUGCAUCGGAACGUGCCAUUGAGUGGGGAAUAACGUAGCGAAAGUUGCGCUAAUACCGCAUAUUCUGUGAGCAGGAAAGCAGGGGGACCGCAAGGCCUUGCGCUCUUUGAGCGGCCGAUGUCAGAUUAGCUAGUUGGUGAGGUAACGGCUUACCAAGGCGACGAUCUGUAGCGGGUCUGAGAGGAUGAUCCGCCACACUGGAACUGAGACACGGUCCAGACUCCUACGGGAGGCAGCAGUGGGGAAUUUUGGACAAUGGGCGCAAGCCUGAUCCAGCCAUGCCGCGUGAGUGAAGAAGGCCUUCGGGUUGUAAGCUCUUCGCCGGGAAGAAUACGCAUGGUUAAUACCCUCGUGUGGAGUGACGGUACCGGAA